UACGUAGGAUGCAAGCGUUAUCCGGAUUUAUUGGGUUUAAAGGGUGCGUAGGCGGCUUUAUAAGUCGUGGGUGAAAGUCAGACGCUUAACGUCUGGAUUGCCUGCGAUACUGUGAGGCUUGGAUUCGGCGGAGGUAAUUGGAAUGGCUGAUGUAGCGGUGAAAUGCAUAGAUAUCAGCUGGAACGCCCAUUGCGAAGGCAGAUUACUGUACCGAGAUUGACGCUGAGGCACGAAAGCAUGGGGAGCAAACAGG
rnacentral:rRNA from 1 species